rnacentral:tRNA from 315 species
GGAAACGUGACCGAGUGGCCGAAGGUGCUCCCCUGCUAAGGGAGUAUGGGGUGUAGAGCCUCAUCGAGGGUUCGAAUCCCUCCGUUUCCGCCA